GACGAACGCUGGCGGCGUGCUUAACACAUGCAAGUCGAACGGAAAGGCCCUGCUUUUGUGGGGUGCUCGAGUAGCGAACGGGUGAGUAACACGUGAGUAACCUGCCCUUGACUUUGGGAUAACUUCAGGAAACUGGGGCUAAUACCGGAUAGGAGCUCCUGCUGCAUGGUGGGGGUUGGAAAGUUUCGGCGGUUGGGGAUGGACUCGCGGCUUAUCAGCUUGUUGGUGGGGUAGUGGCUUACCAAGGCUUUGACGGGUAGCCGGCCUGAGAGGGUGACCGGCCACAUUGGGACUGAGAUACGGCCCAGACUCCUACGGGAGGCAGCAGUGGGGAAUAUUGCACAAUGGGCGGGAGCCUGAUGCAGCAACGCCGCGUGCGGGAUGACGGCCUUCGGGUUGUAAACCGCUUUCGCCUGUGACGAAGCGUGAGUGACGGUAAUGGGUAAAGAAGCACCGGCUAACUACGUG
rnacentral:rRNA from 1 species